UACGUAGGGUGCGAGCGUUAAUCGGAAUUACUGGGCGUAAAGCGUGCGCAGGCGGUUGUGCAAGACAGAUGUGAAAUCCCCGGGCUUAACCUGGGAAUUGCAUUUGUGACUGCACGGCUAGAGUGUGUCAGAGGGGGGGUAGAAUUCCACGUGUAGCAGUGAAAUGCGUAGAUAUGUGGAGGAAUACCGAUGGCGAAGGCAGCCCCCUGGGAUAACACUGACGCUCAUGCACGAAAGCGUGGGGAGCAAACAGG
rnacentral:rRNA from 1 species